AACGAACGCUGGCGGCAUGCCUAACACAUGCAAGUCGAACGAGACGUUCGGGUCUAGUGGCGCACGGGUGCGUAACGCGUGGGAACCUGCCCUUAGGUUCGGAAUAACUCCCCGAAAGGGGUGCUAAUACAGGAUAAUGUCUUCGGACCAAAGAUUUACCGCCUUUGGAUGGGCCCGCGUUGGAUUAGCUAGUUGGUAGGGUAAAAGCCUACCAAGACGACGAUCCAUAGCUGGUCUGAGAGGAUGAUCAGCCACACUGGGACUGAGACACGGCCCAGACUCCUACGAGAGGCAGCAGAGGGGAAGAUAGGACAGUGGGCGAAAGCCUGAUCCAGCAAUGCCGCGUGAGUGGUGAAGGCCUUAGGGUUGUAAAGCUCUUUUACCCGGGAUGAUAAUAACAGUACCGGGAGAAUAAGCUCCGGCUAACUCCGU
rnacentral:rRNA from 1 species